GAUGAACGCUGGCGGCGUGCCUAAUACAUGCAAGUCGAGCGAACGGACGAGAAGCUUGCUUCUCUGAUGUUAGCGGCGGACGGGUGAGUAACACGUGGAUAACCUACCUAUAAGACUGGGAUAACUUCGGGAAACCGGAGCUAAUACCGGAUGAUAUUUUGAACCGCAUGGUUCAAAAGUGAAAGACGGUCUUGCUGUCACUUAUAGAUGGAUCCGCGCUGCAUUAGCUAGUUGGUAAGGUAACGGCUUACCAAGGCAACGAUGCAUAGCCGACCUGAGAGGGUGAUCGGCCACACGGGAACUGAGACACGGUCCAGACUCCUACGGGAGGAAGCAGUAGGGAAUCUUACGCAAGGGGCGAAAGCCUGACGGAGCAACGCCGCGGGAGUGAUGAAGGUCUUCGGAUCGUAAAACUCUGUUAUUAGGGAAGAACAUAUGUGUAAGUAACUGUGCACAUCUUGACGGUACCUAAUCAGAAAGCCACGGCUAACUACGUG
rnacentral:rRNA from 1 species